rnacentral:rRNA from 1 species
GACGAACGCGGCGGCGUGCUUAACACAUGCAAGUCGAACGAAGAGCGACGGAAGCUUACUUCUAUCAAUCUUAGUGGCGAACGGGUGAGUAACGCGUAAUCAACCUGCCCUUCAGAGGGGGACAACAGUUGGAAACGACUGCUAAUACCGCAUACGAUCUAAUCUCGGCAUCGAGGAUAGAUGAAAGGUGGCCUCUACAUGUAAGCUAUCACUGAAGGAGGGGAUUGCGUCUGAUUAGCUAGUUGGAGGGGUAACGGCCCACCAAGGCGAUGAUCAGUAGCCGGUCUGAGAGGAUGAACGGCCACAUUGGGACUGAGACACGGCCCAGACUCCUACGGGAGGCAGCAGUGGGGAAUCUUCCGCAAUGGACGAAAGUCUGACGGAGCAACGCCGCGUGAGUGAUGACGGCCUUCGGGUUGUAAAGCUCUGUUAAUCGGGACGAAAGGCCUUCUUGCGAAUAG